ACGGCUCAGUAACACGUGGCUAACCUACCCUCCGGACUGGGACAACUUCGGGAAACUGAGGCUAAUCCCGGAUAGACGAAGAGGCCUGGAAUGGUUCUCCGUCGAAAAGGCAUCAGGGCCAUGCUUCCUGAUGUCGCCAGAGGAUGGGGCCGCGACCGAUCAGGUUGUUGGUGAGGUAACGGCUCACCAAGCCUAUAACCGGUACGGGCCGUGAGAGCGGGAGCCCGGAGAUGGGCACUGAGACAAGGGCCCAGGCCCUACGGGGCGCAGCAGGCGCGAAACCUCUGCAAUGCGCGAAAGCGUGACAGGGUCAUCCCGAGUGCCAUCCGCUGAGGAAGGCUUUUGCCUGGUCUAACCAGCCGGGAGAAUAAGGGGAGGGCAAGUCUGGUGUCAGCCGCCGCGGUAAUACCAGCUCCUCGAGUGGUUGGGACGAUUAUUGGGUCUAAAGCGUCCGUAGCCGGCUGGAAAAGUUCUCCGUAAAAUCCAACGAUCCAAUCGUUGGCCCGCGGGGAAUACUUUCCGGCUUGGGGGCGGGGGAGGUCGGCGGUAGUCCCGGGGUAGGGGCGAAAAGUCUCGCAAGAGAUUCUCGCAGUCUUAUAAUCCCGGGAGGACCACCAGUGGCGAAGGCGGCCGACUAAAACGCGCCCGACGGUGAGGGACGAAAGCUGGGGGAGCGAACGGGAUUAGAUACCCCGGUAGUCCCAGCUGUAAACGAUGCAGGCUAGGUGUUAGGACGGGUACGGCCCGUUCUAGUGCCGCAGGGAAGCCAUUAAGCCUGCCACCUGGGGAGUACGGCCGCAAGGCUGAAUUCUCGAACAGGCAAAACCGCGCUUGGCGAGACAGCUGACUUAAAGGAAUUGGCGGGGGAGCACCACAAGGGGUGAAGCUUGCGGUUUAAUUGGAGUCAACGCCGGG
rnacentral:rRNA from 1 species